AAAGUCCAGUUAUGGAAGGAGAAGCUAGAUCCACCAUAUAGCGAGUCUUGUGCUGCUGAAGGUAACGACAGUAGUAAAGCGUAGACAGUGAAACAUUCGAGCCGAAACCAAAU
rfam:Orientia tsutsugamushi str. TT144 ut144.contig.110_1, whole genome shotgun sequence.